rnacentral:rRNA from 1 species
UACAGAGGGGGCAAGCGUUAUUCGGAAUUAUUGGGCGUAAAGGGCGCGUAGGCGGCCUGGCAAGUGACGGGUGAAAGCCCUCGGCUCAACCGAGGAACUGCCUGUCAUACUGCCGGGCUUGAGUCCGGGAGAGGUGAGUGGAAUUCCCAGUGUAGCGGUGAAAUGCGCAGAUAUCAGGAGGAACACCAGUGGCGAAGGCGGCUCACUGGCCCGGUACUGACGCUGAGGUGCGAAAGCGUGGGGAGCAAACAGG